UCGCACGCCACUUCCCUCAGCCUGUAGAACUUCCGGCAGCAACUGCAAUUAGGGGUAGUCCAGUGCCAAAUUGUCGCAGCCUUGAAAAUAUUCUGCUUCGUUAUUUCGGGCACUCCACAGAUUCUGUUGCGAAGGCAGCCAUCUUUAGUUCGUCUUUCCUAGAGAGCGUUGAGAAGAUUCUGCUCCAUUUUUUCUGAUUAUGGAUUCUGUUCAGAAGGAAGCCGAAUUUUAAGUCAUCGUUCUAGGAUAGAUUCAGCUCCAUUUUCUCUGGUGGUAGAUCUCCAUGGAUGCUAUUGAGAAGGUACUUCUCAAAGUCCACGAGGACAAGGAUAUCUUUCCACCGAAUGCCACCUGGUUUAUAACAAAAGCAUGAAAAACAAACAGGAAUUUCUCAAUGCAGAAAGGACUGAAGCUGUCAAAAGUGUGCUUUUUUUCUGCACAAACAAGUUUCCAUUGAAUGAUAGAAUAAAGAGAUACUGACUUCCCUGGAGCCUCCAAACUUGAGUAGUCAGGUGUACUUAUUGGAGCUGACCAGCCUUCACAUGCUGGGUUUGAGAAUGCCUGGACUCUGCCCGUCAAUUCUCUCCUUCUGGGGAAUAUGUUUGAAGGCAUUGGGAUCCGUGGAAGGCUUGUUAAAUCCAAAUAGAUUGGUCCUACUCCAUCCGCAGAGUUGCUGACGAGGUGCGUCCAGGCCUUCUCCUCACCUCUCAGGGAGAUAUACCAUGCAGUGCCUUCAGUUAUGGUGUUGUGACUGAGGAUGCUUCGGUCAGACAUGUCCCUGAAAACCUGCAUAGAGGAAUCUCUUGCCCCAAGUUUCAUUCCAAGUAUUUAAAUUGGAAUUGAGCAUCCUGUCAUGCCAGGGAUGAGAAUGCCUGGGUUACAUCAGUUAGCCCUCUCCUCUUGAGGAAUGGCAUAUUACCCAUUUUAGGUGGAUUCCUUGCUACUGCCCUGCUGUGUAGAAACAAAAAUUUUGUUCCCUGAGACUAGGAUGACAGUUUGUACAAGGAGCAUGGGAUCAAGGAUAUCACAGCAGAUUUAUUUCAGGAUGGAAGGUGACUCUCUGGGAGUUAACAUGAGCAUUGUUCCACACACUUAGUAAUUCCCAUGUUAUUAGAGUUGGGGAAAGAACUGUGUCCACAUGGCACACCAUUUAUUAAUGGGUACCUCAAUGCUACCACAGGUUUGAUUAUUAUUUUAGAGGAUGUCAACACAACUUGGAAAGGCCUUUGUACUGAUGCUUACAGUACAUUACAGUUUAAGAACACAGAUGAAAAAUCACCAAGUAAAAAAGGAGCAUAGGGAGGAAUCCAGGAGAAACCAGGCUCAAGCUUCCAGCCACCCUCUUCCAGUGGAGUCAAGUGCACUGCACUUAAUUCUCCCAGCCAGGUGUGCGGCCACCUGUGCCAAGUGUUCCCAACCAGCUGCACUUCAAGGGAAGUUAUUGAAUAUGUCCUAUCCAACUAAAACAAGGAAAUGAUGAAAAAAAUAAAAUCACUUUCCAGAGGCCUCAGGGCUAACUGGAGACAGAGCUCAGACUGCAGCUGAGAAAAGUUGGACUCCAAAACCUGUACUCUGAGCUUUACUGCAUGAGAAAGUUAUUGAAAUGUGCCUUGUGACAUUCAGAAUAAGUGACUUUUCAGAGGUCUCAGAGUCAGUAAGAGACAGAACUCAGAUUGUAACCAAGAAGAACUGAACUCCAAACUUCUGUGUCCGGAAUUGGUGGGUUCUUGGUCUCACUGACUUCAAGAAUGAAGCUGCAGACCCUCGCGCAUACCUGCCAUGCAAGAAAUGUGAAAAGUUCUUCGGAGAGAAGGAAAAUUAUAUAGGUCAGAAACUGAGACCUACAUAAGGAAAGAAGAGCAUUGGAUGAAGAAGAAAUAAAUAAAG